rnacentral:rRNA from 1 species
UACGUAGGGGGCUAGCGUUAUCCGGAAUUACUGGGCGUAAAGGGUGCGUAGGUGGUUUCUUAAGUCAGAGGUGAAAGGCUACGGCUCAACCGUAGUAAGCCUUUGAAACUGGGGAACUUGAGUGCAGGAGAGGAGAGUGGAAUUCCUAGUGUAGCGGUGAAAUGCGUAGAUAUUAGGAGGAACAUCAGUGGCGAAGGCGGCCUGCUGGACGACAACUGACGGUGAGGCGCGAAAGCGUGGGGAGCAAACAGG